UACUUGCAGGGGUACUAGUCAAUAGAUUUUCCUCCCUCUUGUGGACAAAAAACGCACUCGCAACAGGGUAGCCUGUUGUCCGCGCACCUGUCAUUAAUCACCAUUUAAGCGCAGAAAAACUCAGCUCUCGGCUAUACAUGCACACUAAAAAUCCGAGCUGAACCCGAUUAAGGCAAAACUGCAACGAGAGAAAAUUGUUCUGUAAACCACCUUUAUUAUAUUCAUUAUGGGGAGUCCAAACAUGCUUGUGUUGAAAUCGUUGGAGUGGAAUUGGUGCAGGGAGCUACAGGUGAAGGGCUUGCUUCCCUCAGCUGGAAAAAAAUGGCAUUACAGCAGAGCAAGUCUGGUUUAAAAAGUUCUGCACUCCUUCGUUAUGAUCAAAAAUAUUUUUUGUAUGAAGAUUUUUAAUGCUGCGCACAAUUCAAAAUAAUAAAUAUCUACUGAAAUUAAAA